GGAUCACAGGCAUGCACCAUCACACUCAGCUUCAUGGAUAUUUCAUCUCUUAGAACUGGCUUGCCUCACAACUGUUAGAAGAUUGACAGGCAAUUCUGGGCUUGUUGAUGUCCACUGUUCAAUCCAUUUGGGCUUUAGUGUUCAUUGUCAGUUAUUUUUCAUUAGGACCAGGUGUUUGAGACAAAGAAUCAUGCCACUCUUAAUGAGCAAAUUUUUUUACUUUGUCUAGAGCAAAGUCCUUCACCAUGGAGUGCUGUCAGUGCCAUGGUAACCACAGAUGUACAGACCUUGACUUGACUUUGUGAGUUGAGAGGCCAGAGACACCCCCUCCUUUGCCCAGUGUCAAAGAGGACAGCCAAGGCAGGCUCUGAAUCUCCUAAAGUGUGCUAGCCGCUGGAAACCCUCAGAUGCCUUAUUAUAAGAAGAUAGCAGUACUAGUAUGCUGUGAGGAUGAAACUAGAUGAUGUUUAUCAGUGUGUAGUACAGCAUCUGGCACAUAGCAAUGAGCUCUGGCCAUCAUUUGUGAUUAAGGCUAUUUUUUAUUUCAUUUUAGGACGCUUCCUUAUAUUAAUAUAAUAGAGGAUUCUAAGACUUUGGUCAUCUACACAAUCCCUACUCCUUAUUUAUUCUUAAGCAAGGUCAGUUCAGAGAAGUUCUUACUCCCUCCUGAGCAGAUGAGGAGGAACCCUGGAGAUUCUGAUGGCCUCUGCCUCCAUCCACACCCAACCACAACCAAGAGACAAGAGCUGACCUUAUCCAUAGGUCAAGCCCAGAUGGUUUACUAUUUUAUGUAGAAAAUGUCAGCUGAUCCUUCCUGGUGAGCGACUUUAUCCUUGAGAAUAUUAUGGGACUGUGCUAAAAAAGCAUUCUCCCUUCACAGGACCAUCAGUCUCUGGGGAACAGUGUGGGAGAUGGUCCUUUAUUAUUUUCAUUUUUUUGUGUGAUAUAUGAGGCUACUUGGAUGGUUUUCUCUGCUACAUAAAAGUAGCUCAUGUGAAUAUAUAUAUGUAUAGAUAUAUAGAUAGACAGACAGAUAGAUAGAUAGAUAGAUAGAUAGAUAGAUAGAUAGACAGACAGAUAGAUUUGUAUAUCUUUUUCUUCUUGCUGCAGCUAAAGUGCUUAGGGGUUGCUUUUGCUGCAGGUGUGUGCCUAGUGUGAGCAUAUUCUCUGUGUGUGUUCCUACAUUAAGGGACAACUUAACUCUUUCUGCUUUUUGGCUUCACUAACACUGCUUAGUAUCACAGACUCCAAGGGGUAGUAGACAUCUGGAGGACGGAACUCUGCGAUGUCCCUAGGGAGCUUUACUCUGGUCGGUUCUUGCACUUGCUAACGAUGCCUGAGUCCUGAGAGCAAACCCAUUCACAGAAAGCUGUCCAGCCCUGUUCCAUCUGAUCGUGUUUUACUUUACAACGUUAGCUUUGGAGAAGUGUCUGCCUCCCACGGUGUACCUAAUUGCCUGUCAGCAGCCCAGCAUGGCAUUCUAGAUGCACGGCCAGUAGUUCUAAGUGGAGACAGGCACUUCCAGGAAGGCACUGGUGGGAUUCCUUUCUGAAAAUAAAUAUCAUUCUUCUCACUAUUUACUAUACUUUUGAUUUAAUUCAGACUGAUGUCUAAUUCAAGAGGAAAUUGUUAGUUGCUUUCAAAGUUGCUGAUGAAAAGAUAUUUCCUGAGUCUACUUCCUAGUGAGUUAGUCAGGCAGAACUAUUCAUGUGUUGAGGUGUCAGGACACGGCUCAUCCUGUGUGGGGUGAGCACCAGGAGAGCUUCUGUGUAUUACAGUAGCUUGUUGAUGGAUCUGGGUGCUGAAUGCAUGGAAAGUUCAUCUUAUGAAAGUUCAUCAAGUUAUAUAUGAGUGAUUUGUGUACUUUACUAUUAAGCAUGUCAUGCUUUAUUAAAAAGUUUACUUUUUGUGUUAUAUCCAGAUAAUGGAAUAUUAUUCUGCAUUAAAAAAUUGAGCUUCAUGUAAUGAAUACACAUUUUAAGAAGUCCCUAAAUGAAUAUUACUAUGUGAAAUAAAGCAUUCUGAAAAGGCUUCGCGAACUAGGAUUCCAACCAUAUGACCUAGAAGAAGCAAACCCAUGGAGACCAUCAAAAGCAUCAAUGACUGUUAGGGCUUAGUCAGAAGGGAAGGAUAAAGUGCCCAACUACUGAGGACCCUCAGCAUGGUGAAACUAUUCUAUAGGAGGCUACAGUGAUUUCCCCAAGUCCACGGAACAUAGAACGCCAAGAAUGAACCCCAGUGUCAUCUAUGGACUCUGUGUGAUAGAGGCAGAUCAAUUUAGAUUAACCUUUGGCAGUGCAUGGGCUAAACUGGCUGGGAAUAUUGAUAAUAGGGGUGUCUCUGUGUGUGCACAGGGAGGAAGUACUGGAGGCACAUGGGACAUCUCUGUACUUCUAGCCUAAAUGUUCUAUGAACCCAAGAUUGCUCUGAAGAAUAAGGUCAAUUUCAAGGAAAAUGACAUACAUAUUUUGUUAGUCAGCUCUCUGUCACUCUAUCAGUUAUUAGUUGUUGUUUUUUUUUGUUGCUAUGACAUCAUAGUUGACCAAAGCAACUGAAGGAAGGAAGGUUUAUUCUGGACAAAUAUGGCAGAGCAAGUGUGGCAUUGAGAAUGGCUUUGGUUGUGGUGGCAGAAGUAUGGGGUGGCUGGUCAUAUUGUAUCCAUACUUAGGAAGCAGGAGAGAUGGAUGAGGACACUCACUUGCUUCCUCCUUUUUAUUCAGUUGGGUCCCCCAUCCCAUGACAUGGUGACACCUACAUUCAGGGUGUAUCUCCUCAUCUCAGUUAAAUCUCUGUGGAAACAUAUCAGACAUGCCCAAUUACCCUGUCUUUGUGGUGAUUUCAAAUUGGAUCAAGGUAGCCACAAGUUUAACUAUCACAGCUACUUUAACCAAACCCUGACGUAAUCACCUUAUAAAGGCAGGUUUAUUUAUUUUGUUAUUCAGCUCUCUGUCACCGUUUUGGCUCACCAUUUUGGAGGGGUUGGCGCAUCCUCUGUUGGCCCCAAGACCUUGGGACAAACACUGCGUCAUGACAGGAAAGUAAGAGGAAGAGCUACCAGGGACAUUGCUGGAAGCAGACGGCCAGAGGUAGGACCUCAGCUUGAAGAGUAAUUGAUCUCUGUGCUGGAGAGCAGGAUGUUUGGCCAAAGGUGGAGUUGCCAGAUGUAUUGAGAAUUAAGGAGUCCUCACUCCCCUAUUCAGGUCUGUUCAACAGGUCCAGUGGAACCCGACACAUGGAAGGUCAUUCCACAAGUCAUCCGUGCUGAAAGGCCAUGAAAAGGAGAGCAGGUGUGACAUGUGAGAGGCUAGAGGAGACGGGAGGCAUUCCUCUGAUUCUCCAGCAGCCUGUGGCCUAUGUGACAUGAGGAUGACUGGCCAGAAAGACCCAGGCGAAAGGACUUGCUCAAAGAUGCCCACGAGGACAGGCAGUGGCUAGACCCGAACCCUUUCUCCUGAAGCUGAAAUGAGCAUGCAUGACUGUAACCACCCCGCAGUCCUGCUGGGCUGUAAUAUGAAGAGGCUGCUUGGAGCUCUACCCAGGGUGCUUCAAAACCAUCCAUUAUUCUUCAGAGCCACAGAUGUCAUCACAUUUUCCUUGGCGCUUUGAACCGGUACAAAACCUGAGGCCGCAGAAAGCCAUUAUCAGCAAUGUUCCAAAGUGCGGGAGACCAGAGUUUUUGAUCUCUGUUUCCCUGAGGCCUUUAAACAAACGACAAGGACGAAGAACAGUUAUUAAAAUAAAAAUGCAGUGUUCAGGAAUCUGUGCUGAUAA